rnacentral:lncRNA from 1 species
AUUCAACAUCCUUUCAUGUUAAAAGCUCUCAAUAAACUAGGUAUUGAAGGAACAUACCUCAAAAUAAUAAGAGCCACAUAUGACAAACCCACAGCCAACAUCAUACUGAAGGGCAAAAGCUCAAGCAUAUCCCUUGGAAACCAGCACAAGACAUGGAUGCCCUCUCUCACCACUCCUAUUCAGCGUAGUAUUGGAAGUUCUGGCCGGGACAAUCAGGCAAGAGAAAGAAAUAAAGGGCAUUCACAUAGGAAGAAAGGAAGUUAAACUAUCCCUGUUUGCCUGCAAUUCUUUCAAAGAUGCAAAUUUGAUUAUAUCAUUUCCUACAUAACUUGCUCUAAUGGCACCCUAUUCUCUGAAAAUGAAGCCCAAACUCCUCCUUGGCAAGAGUACCCAAGACCCAGUCUAAUACCUACUUCUUCCUCAGCCUCACUUCUAACCUCCCCAUGCUUACUCCCCUCCCUCGUUUUGGUUCACAGACUAUGGUUUUUCCAUGGUGGAUAGGGGGAGAGUGUUGAUUUAAAAAAAAUGCCAGACAAAUCAGCCCCAUUGCAGCUUUAGUCAAGUUAGAUUCAGUGGUUUGCUUCAACCUCACUGUAAGUUCCUUAACUCAUCCUCCCAUCUGAAUUCAGCAAGCAUCAACCUUAAUGCCCCACUUUCUUCCUCAGUUAAAUAGUAGAGACUUUUCUCUCUCUGAUUCCUCCCUAACCGUUACUUUAGAAAAGUGACUCUUAAACUGUUGGAGGUCAUGAACCCCUAGAGGCCCUCUACUUAGAAAAAUAGAAUUGAAGUAUUCUUAUAGGACCCAGGACAAGAACAGUUCUAUAGAGAGCAAAGAAGAGGCUCAGAUUAUAAGAAAAUUAUUAUUGUAAGCCUCAGUUCACUUCCCUUGUAUCCCCCCAUUUCCCUCUCCACACACAAAUUGCAAAAAUCAAUUUCUGACCUUUUCUCCCCUAACUCUGCCCCCUGCAAUGCUUGUGCCUAGGAACUGCUGAUUUCCUAGUAUUAGGAGGAGGCUCCAGGAGCCUCAGCCUUCAGGCCAUGACUGUGGCAGAGAUGAGAGCUGGGCUGGGUGGGGAGGGUGUCCUCCUCAGGAGCUGGACAUCCUUCCUGAGCUUUGGGAUUACUUUUUCCCCUUCCCUUAGAUGUUUUCAUGCCCAGUGACAAGCAUAGUCCUUGGAAAGAUUAUCUUCUUUAGCCACUUGCCCCCUGACCUAAAAGGUUAGCCUCUGUGAACACUAUGCUGUGUCUCCCAGAUGCCACCCCCCUCUGGCAUUUAUUCUCCACCCUUGGCCUUACAGAGAACCCAGUGAGCAUGUUUUUAAAUCUCUAAUUUCCCUAGCCAGGAGCAGAUCUGUUUCUUCCUACGGGACAAGGCCCAAGUAAUGAUGAGAAUCAUAGUUUGGUUAUCACUGGACACAACUUACUUCUGUAGUUCACAGAAUGCCUUGCCAUGUGCAUGUCCACGAGGGAAAAAG